rnacentral:rRNA from 1 species
GAUGAACGCUGGCGGCGUGCCUAAUACAUGCAAGUCGAGCGAAGGGACGAGAAUCUUUCUUCUCUUAUGUUAGCGGCGGACGGGUGAGUAACACGUGGAUAACCUACCUAUAAGACUUGAAUAACUGCGGGAAACCGUAGCUAAUACCGUAUGAUGUUUUGAACAGCAUGGUUCAAAGGUGAAAUACGUUCUUUCUGUCACUUAUAGAUGGAUCCUCGGUGCAUUAGCUAGUUGGUAAGGUAACGGCUUACCAAGGCAACGAUGCAUAGCCGACCUGAGAGGGUGAUAGGCCACCCUGGAACUUAGAGACGGUCCAGACUCCUAGGGGAGGCAGCAGUAGGGAAUGUUCCGCAAUGGGCGAAAGCGUGACGGAGCAACGCCGCGUGAGUGCUGAAGGUAUUCGGAUCGUAAAAUUCUGUUAUUAGGGAAGAACAUAUGUGUAAGUAACUGUGCACAUCUUGACGGUACCUAAUCAGAAAGCCACGGCUAACUACGUG